GGCAAUAGCUGAGUGGUAGAGCAUCUGCUUGGCUUGCAGAAGGCCGAAGGUUCGAUUCCCAGCAUCUCCA
rnacentral:tRNA from 1 species